rnacentral:rRNA from 1 species
AGUGAACGCUGGCGGUAGGCCUAACACAUGCAAGUCGAACGGCAGCACAGUAAGAGCUUGCUCUUACGGGUGGCGAGUGGCGGACGGGUGAGGAAUACAUCGGAAUCUACUUUUUCGUGGGGGAUAACGUAGGGAAACUUACGCUAAUACCGCAUACGACCUACGGGUGAAAGCAGGGGAUCUUCGGACCUUGCGCGAUUGAAUGAGCCGAUGUCGGAUUAGCUAGUUGGCGGGGUAAAGGCCCACCAAGGCGACGAUCCGUAGCUGGUCUGAGAGGAUGAUCAGCCACACUGGAACUGAGACACGGUCCAGGCUCCUACGGGAGGCAGCAGUGGGGAAUAUUGGACAAUGGGCGCAAGCCUGAUCCAGCCAUACCGCGUGGGUGAAGAAGGCCUUCGGGUUGUAAAGACCUUUUGUUGGGAAAGAAAAGCAGCAGGUUAAUACCCCGCUGUUCUGACGGUACCCAAAGAAUAAGCACCGGCUAACUUCGUG